rnacentral:rRNA from 1 species
GACGAACGCUGGCGGCGUGCUUAACACAUGCAAGUCGAACGGAAAGGCCCUGCUUUUGUGGGGUGCUCGAGUGGCGAACGGGUGAGUAACACGUGAGUAACCUGCCCUUGACUUUGGGAGAACUUCAGGAAACUGGGGCUAAUACCGGAUAGGAUCUCCUGCUGCAUGGUGGGCGUUGGAAAGUUUCGGCGGUUGGGGAUGGACUCGCGGCUUAUGAGCUUGUUGGUGGGGUAGUGGCUUACCAAGGCUUUGACGGGUAGCCGGCAUGAGAGGGUGACCGGCGACCAUGGGCCUAAGAGAGGCAGCAGAAUGCAAUGGGAGGCAAUGGUGGGAAGUAUUGCACAGUGGGAGGACGUGUGUGGCGAAAGCGCCGGGUGCGGAAUGCCGGCCUUCGGGUUGUGAACAGCUUUCGCCUGUGACGAAGCGUGAGUGACGGUACUGGGUAAAGAAGCACCGGCUAACUACGUG